GACGAACCGUGCGAACGUUAUUCGGAAUCACUGGGCUUAAAGCGCGUGUAGGCGGUCCGGCACGUCGGUCGUUGAAAGCCCCCGGUUCAACCGGGGAAGCGGCGCCGAUACGACCGGGCUGGAGGGGGGUAGGGGGCGCUGGAAUUCCGGGUGGAGCGGUGAAAUGCGUAGAGAUCCGGAGGAACACCGACGGCGUAGGCAGCGCCCUGGACGACACCUGACGCUGAGGCACGAAAGCUGGGGGAGCGAACAGG
rnacentral:rRNA from 1 species